GGCUUGCGUUACUCACAGAAGAAGCACCGGCUAACUCCGUGCCAGCAGCCGCGGUAAUACGGAGGGUGCAAGCGUUAAUCGGAAUUACUGGGCGUAAAGCGCGCGUAGGUGGUUUGAUAAGCGAGAUGUGAAAGCCCCGGGCUUAACCUGGGAACGGCAUUUCGAACUGUCAGGCUAGAGUAUGGUAGAGGGUAGUGGAAUUUCCUGUGUAGCGGUGAAAUCCGUUUAUAUAGGAAGGAACACCAGUGGCGAAGGCGGCUACCUGGACCAAUACUGACACUGAG
rnacentral:rRNA from 1 species